UCAGCUGCUGACCGGAUUUUUGUGGCGACGUUUCAGACGGCUUUCUAAAUCGUUUCAACGUCUGGAGUACCGAGUAAUCAUGCAGGAGAAAACGCUAUUGUAAAGGUGUCUUGAGCUCCUGACCAAAACGCGCACUCAAGCUCUCCCGUAUAAUGGCAGUUUGGUAAUUUGCCAAUCAUUAUCUAGACUUCUACAGCAGCAAGACAUGGACGAUGUUGAUUGUGCCACAGAAGAAUUGACAGUCGAACCUACUCAGCAGAAGACCAAAACGACGCACAGCGUUGCCAGUAACCAUACGCAUUCAUUUCAAUCAGCAAAGGCGCCGACCCUUUGUAGUUUGAUAGUUACGACGCUUCGAGAGCCAACGGAUUCCGUCGAUAGUGGAUGGUCGUGGGUCAUAUGCGCUUGCUCUUUCGUAACCAAUUUCGUUGUAUUGGGCACAUUGGCAUCCUUUGGUGUGCUCUACACAGGAUUAUUAGAAUUCUACACUGAGUCUAACACAACCAGCGGCUACUGUGACACAAACAAGAAUGAGAGUGGAAUAAGUGCAGUUACUGCUUGGAUUGGAAAUCAAGCUGUGUUUCUUACGUAUUUGCUUGCCCCAUUUUCAACCAGUCUUGUUGCUCGAUGGGGAGUGAGGCCCGUGACGAUGACUGGAUCUGCACUUGUUUCCGCUGGAGCAUUUCUUACUGCAGCAACAAAUGAGAUGUGGCAGGCAAUUCUGACUUAUGGCGUAAUUCUAGGCGUAGGAGCUUCAUUAUCUGUUACUCCUGUGACUGGAAUACUGCCAGCUUACUUCAACAAGAGAACAUCACUUGCUGUGUGCAUGGCUCGGUCUGCUGCUUGGGUUGCUGGACUGUGUAUGUCUCUAAUUAACCAGACUAUUUUGGAUCGUUAUGGUUGGAGAGCAGUCUGCAUAUUUAUUGGAAGCUACAGCUUGUUGUCGUUUGUGUCUGGAGUGUUGAUACGGCCUCGUGUGCAACAGAUUAAGCAAAAGUUGACAAUAAAACAAAUCGUCAUUCGAGCCUGCAAUACACAACGACAUGUUCGAUUUUCAGUGUGGCUGUGGUUGACGUCACUUCACUACUUCUCACUUUACCUUGUCCUUCAUCAUUUGAUUCGUCAUGCUGAAUGCUCAGUUGGAGCGUCAGGCAGGGAUGCAGCACUGUUACUGACCUACGCAUCAGUGUUUGGGGCAGUGUCAGGUGUUCUUGUGGGCUACAUUGGCGAUUACACUUACAGUGAACUUGUCGGAUAUUCGAUUCUGGUUGGUGUGUUUGGAUCAUUUCGGAUGCUAGUCGCUGUCAUUCCUCGGGAUAUAGUCGGACUGGAAGAGAUUGUCAAUGCUUGGGGAAUAUACUCAUUGAUUGCUGGUGUGGUGGCUUCUGCUGGGCCACCGUUUGGCGGAUGGAUAUAUGACUUUACUGGCUCGUACAAUACUGCUUUUGUGGUUUGUGGUUGUCUGUCGGUUAUUUCUAGUUUAUCAAUGUUCUCUGACAUUUACCUCAAGAGAAGACAGGAGCAAAAGUUGAACAAGAAGGAGAAACUUGAAUCAGUUGUUCUGGAUAAGGGGAUGGCUAACUGGCAAGGUGACUCGAUCUGGAGCUCCAGAAGGCUCACGAGUUGAGCACCAAGGCAAAGAUGAUACAGCCAAGCUUCCUUUCUUGCGUGACUAUGCCAAAGAAGAACAGACUUGGCAAAUUUUGGAUGUCCUAAAAGCUGUUGCUGAAGAAUCAGGAAAGAGUAUUCCACAAGUAGCACUAAAAUGGUUGCUACAUCAGGAGACUGUCAGCUCGGUUGUCAUCGGAGCUAAGAAAAUGGAACAGCUUGUUGACAACAUGGGAGCAGGAGAUGACAGUUGGAAACUGACUGCAGACC